rnacentral:rRNA from 1 species
UACGUAGGGGGCAAGCGUUGUCCGGAAUCAUUGGGCGUAAAGAGCGUGUAGGCGGCCAGAAAAGUCCGCUGUGAAAACUCGAGGCUCAACUUCGAGCUGUCGGUGGAAACUUUCUGGCUAGAGUCCGGAAGAGGAGAAUGGAAGUUCCUGGUGUAGCGGUGAAAUGCGCAGAUAUCAGGAAGAACACCAAUGGCGAAAGCAGCUCUCUGGGACGGUACUGACGCUGAGACGCGAAAGCGUGGGGAGCGAACAGG